GCACGCCCUCUUCAUCCUCCUCCCCCAUCGUCCUCCAGCGCCCCGAGCUCCCCUCGACGCAUCGCAGACCACCUGCUCCUCCCGAUGCACCGGCCGCGCGCGGCCACAUCUCGCCUGGCUGUCCACUCGCACGUCUCCAACCUCGGGGUCCGGCGAGCGGCGCCGGCAGCCACGGCGGACUGCCAUGGGUGCGGCCAAUCUGAGCUCCUGUUGGUAGGUUAGUCCAAAAAUAAAAAGAAUCCACGCACUACACGACCCCGUCCUCCAAUACGCCACCUGCUCCCAGCCAUCUAGCACCGCCGCCCGCUUCAGCUCCUGCUCGUCGAUCGCCGCCGUGCGGAGCCACCUUCCCAGCACGCCGCUCCGCCUGCGUACACCGAUAGGCUUUCAACCACCGCCACGCGCCACUUCGCCUCCCCCUGCCCAUCGUCUCCUACACAAUCGUCUCGAAUCGCAGGAGCGGCCUCUCAUCUCUCUCUCUCUCUCUCUCUCUCUCUCUCUCUCUCUCUCUCUCUCUCUCUCUCUGUACUGGUGGUCACGGCUGAUGCUACUUCUCCUCUCCAUCAGGAUCUCUCUGUCUCUCCCUGUCUCUCUAUAUCUCUCUCAUGGAUUGGAAACUGCAUUCUUCCAAAUAAAUGUGUGCCUCUGUUCUUGAUAUGCCGCCCACCACAUGUUUGAUGUUAUGCUUAUGAGGAGUUAUUUUUUUUUCAGGUUUUUAUUUGGUGUAUUAGGCAGCCUGGUGUAAUUUGUUUCAAAAGUGAACAUGGUGUACAGUCCAAUGUAUCUAGGAAAAUUAAGUUAUGGAGAGUUGUUCAUGAUGUUGCUUGCAUAUUUUUUGUCUAACAAACUGGGUACUUAAAUGGAUAUAAAUAUUGAGUAGGUGCUGAAAUAUUUCGCUAAUAAUAGUUUCCAAAUUGCUUUUUAGCAGAACUACAGAACUAUUUGCAACUUUUAAUUAUGUGUACUUAAAAUGGAUUUGUUGUCCAGGACAUGUGGAGUUGAGAUCAAGUUGAAUUAUGUGCUGAUGUCAUUAUGUUUUUUUGUGUGGAGAAAUAUAGGAGAUUUAGUCCAGGCCCUCCACUGGCUCAAGACCCAGUGGCUCUCUGCUCCUCAACGCCCCACAUCGAGCGCCCAAUCCCGAAAGACAGGCCCGUCGUGCUGCCGCUCCCCAUCUCCCAUGUAUCCUUGGUUUAGUUCCCAUAUCUUGAAUUACUUUGGUCAAAUGCAAGGAUUGCCUAUAAAGUAAUUGGGUUUGGCCUUUGUGAGGAAUGCUACAGCAACACUUCAAACCUCCCAUGCCGCUUUCAUCAGCAGCAUAGAACUUGAUAAUACAUCACUGUAGGAUGCAUUCAUGAGAUUCCAAUGGAUACCCACGGAAGGUCCACAAUAGCUGAUUGUAGAAGAAUUUUUUGUAUCUAGCGAAGUUAAUUCUGGGAGCAAUCCUUGAAUAUUGCAGGUGUCGAUUUAAAUGAAUGUAGUGUGCUAACAUGGUUCAUCGCUGGAGAUGUAUUUAGUAUUCGCUACCUUGUUAGUACUUGGAAAGUUAGUUCACACAUAUCUAUGACAAUAGAAGUAAUAAUUAUUUGACAAUAGGAAGAAGUAUUUAGUAUUUGUUUCUACUUUUUAAUAAAUAGGGUCCUUGUUUUCUUUGUGUUCAGUCCACAAGAUAGGUGCAUGUUGUUUAUGCUAAUCAUGACAUUGUGGAAUUCAAGCUUUUCUGUUUGUGCCCAACUGAACAGUUGCUCUAUACUAGAUAUAAGGUGGUUACUUUCCCCAAUGAUAGAGGAUCUUUGUUUCAAACUCAUGAAUAUGUUCCCCACAAUAGGAAGAAUGUAAUAUUGCUUAGCAUGUCUCCUUGAAGUACAGGCAUCCAAGAUUGCCAUACAAUAUAUAAUGGCUUUGACGUUAAUUUAGAGUACAGUUUUCCCUUCUCAAGAAAUUUCAACACUGAAGAUAGUCUAUGUUAAUUGUGAUACAUGUGGCAUUUGAAGUAGUAAUUCCUCUCAAAGUUUAGAUUACACUUACUUAAGUGUGGGUUCAAAAUUCCAUCUGUAUGUUCGUAUAAGAAUUCAUGUUUUUGUUUCUGCACAAGUCCAUAUGACCUGAUUUAUCGAUAUGGACUAUCAUUGAUGCGCUUAAAUGUAUUCUCGACAUUUUUUUAGAAAACCAGAUGAUCGAGGUGAGAAAAAAUGUGUGUUGCUUUUAUCUAGGAAAACUGACACUCAGAUGCACAUGCCAAAAUCACCAUAGAUUGAUCCUGUUUAACAGCACAGAAAGAAGAAUUGCUUCACCAGAACCUGGGCCAUGCAUGCGGUGAUUGAUAUUUUAGUUGCGCGGUUGUUUCCAGUUGUUCAUCUGAGAAAUUAAGAACUCUUCCCGGCCAUCAAGGAUGUACGAGGUACUUGAGUUGUACAAGAACUGAAUUACAUUAUUUCUAUUUUAUACACAACAAGGACCCAGAUUUGUGAUUUUUACAUGUAAAGAAAACCAUAUCAAAUUUUCAUGUAACUGUUACUGUGUAACUUAUCUUCAUCUCUAAGAAUAUGGAUGAUCUUUCCUUUUGAAA